UCUACGGGGGGCAGCAGUGGGGAAUAUUGCACAAUGGGCGAAAGCUGAUGCAGCGACGCCGCGUGAGGGAUGACGGCCUUCGGGUUGUAAACCUCUUUCAGCAGGGACGAAGCGCAAGUGACGGUACCUGCAGAAGAAGCACCGGCUAACUACGUGCCAGCAGCCGCGGUAAU
rnacentral:rRNA from 1 species